rnacentral:rRNA from 1 species
AACGUAGGAGACGAACGUUAUCCGGAGUUACUGGGCGUAAAGGGCGUGUAGGCGGUAUGUUAAGUCUGGCGUGAAAGCUCUCGGCUAAACCGGGAGAGGUCGUUGGAUACUGGCACACUAGAGGAUGGUAGAGGCGUGUGGAAUUCCGGGUGUAGUGGUGAAAUGCGUAGAGAUCCGGAGGAACACCAGUGGCGAAGGCGACACGCUGGGCCAUACCUGACG